AAGAGAUUAUAAAUAGAGUAAGGGAGGCGUUGAAGGAGUGUACAACAGCUUCUUCUUCCUCUCAUUUUGUGAGCAUGGCUUCAACCCCUGGAAUCCUCACCUCCUGGCCAUGGAAGCCUCUUGGCAGCUUCAAGUACAUUAUUCUAAUGCCAUGGGCGAUUCAUAGCACCUAUUUGAUCACAAUGAAAGGAGAAAAGGCGAGGGACAUUCCAUACUUCCUCAUACUCCCUUUUCUUCUUGUCAGAAUGCUUCACAACCAAAUUUGGAUUUCUCUUUCACGUUAUCGAACAGCUAAAGGCGCCAAUAAAAUCGUUGACAAGGGUCUUGAGUUUCAACAAGUUGACAGAGAAGCUUCGUGGGACGAUCAGAUAUUAUUAAACGGAAUACUGUUCUACGUGGGUCAGAGGAUGAUUCAUCAAGCUUCAAAUUUACCAAUUUGGAGAACAGACGGUGUGAUUAUCACAGCUCUGCUUCAUGCGGGUCCAGUUGAGUUUCUCUACUACUGGCUCCACAGAGCUCUCCACCAUCACUUCCUCUACUCUCGCUAUCAUUCUCAUCACCAUUCAUCUAUUGUCACUGAGCCCAUAACAUCGGUGAUCCAUCCAUUUGCGGAACACGUGGCAUAUUUCUCAUUAUUCGCGAUUCCGAUGUUGACCACACUGUUGACCACAACAGCCUCCGUGGCUUCCUUAACCGGAUACGUGAGUUACAUUGAUUUCAUGAACAACAUGGGACACUGCAACUUUGAGCUUGUUCCUAAAUCACUCUUCUCCAUUUUCCCACCUCUCAAGUAUCUUGUAUACACUCCAUCGUAUGUCUUCUACGAUUAUAUAUAUGGAACGACGGAUAAAUCAUCAGAUGAAUGUACAAAUUGUCAUUGAAACGUAGUGAAGAUGUGUCGAUGUAGUUCAUCUAACUCAUCUCACUACGCUUGAUUCCCUCUAUCAUCUUCGAUUGGGAUUUGCUUCUUGGGCUUCUAGGCCUCAUUCAUCUUCUUUUACUUCGAUAUUUUUCUCUAUUCUCACUUAUUUCUUCUCUUUUAUUUUCUCUCUCCCUCGCCCUGCUUUCCUCUUGGAAGCUCACUCCUUCAAAAAUCUCAACUUGCAUUCUUGGGUUAUUCCGGCAUUUUAUUUUCAGUAUUUCGUAAAAUCGCGAAAAGAUGGUAUCAAUCGCUUCAUUGAAGAAGCUGUACUUGAAGCAGAGAAGAAAGGAGCUAAAGUGCUGAGUCUUGGUCUUUUGAAUCAGGGGGAGGAGCUGAAUAGAUAUGGAGAAAUAUACAUUGAAAAAUACCCAAAGCUCAAAGUAAAAGUGGUUGAUGGGAGCAGUUUGGCAAUUGCAGUUGUACUUAACACCAUUCCACCAGGAACAAAGCAAGUCUUGCUUGCUGCAAAAUUCUCUAAGGUUGCCAUUGCCGUCGUUUCUGCUCUCUGUGAUCGGGGCAUUCAGGUGGCAAUGCGGCUUCGAAAUAACUAUUUGGAGCUUAAACACAUGGUUCCAGAAAUAUCUAAUAAUUACUUGGUCCAGUCACCGGCAGACGAGUACAAGGUAUGGUUAGUGGGAGAUGAAUUAAGUGUGGAAGAUCAGAAAAAAGCAUCAAAAGGAACAACAUUCAUUCCGUUAUCUCCAUUUCCACCCAAAAAAAUACGCAAAGAUUGCUAUUACCACUCCACUCCAGCAAUGCUUCUUCCGGAAACAUUUCACAAUGUCCACUCCUGCGAGAACUGGCUGCCUAGAAGAGCAAUGAGCGCAUGGCGAAUCGCGGGGAUUUUACACGCGCUUGAAGGAUGGCAAGUUGACGAGUGUGGCGACCAAGUCUUCAAUGUUGAUAAAAUUUGGGAAGCAUCUCUUCGCCAUGGAUUUCUUCCACUCAAUUGAUCAAAAUUCUACCUACUUGUUUCAUCAGACGGAUUAUAAUAUUGCACUUAAAUUAAAUAAACCCAUUCUGCUAGUUAAUGUACUAUUAUAUUAUUAUGAAAAAUUAUUAAGUAUUUCGAGAGUAUAAAUGAAUAUGUAUUAGUAUAAAUGCUACGAAGAAUUAUCAAGUAUUUCAAGAGUAUAAAUGAGUUCU